GUGCUUGCCUCGGCAGCACAUAUACUAAAAUUGGAAGGAUACAGAGAAGAUUAGUAUGGCCUCUGUGCAGGGAUGACAUGCAAAUUCGUGAAGUGUUUCAUAUAUUA
ensembl:snRNA U6 U6 spliceosomal RNA